rnacentral:rRNA from 1 species
UAGGGAAUCUUCCGCAAUGGACGCAAGUCUGACGGAGCAACGCCGCGUGAGUGAAGAAGGAUUUCGGUUCGUAAAACUCUGUUGUUAGAGAAGAACAGCGCAUAGAGUAACUGUUAUGCGUGUGACGGUAUCUAACCAGAAAGCCACGGCUAACUACGUGCCAGCAGCCGCGGUAAUACGUAGGUCCCGAGCGUUGUCCGGAUUUAUUGGGCGUAAAGCGAGCGCAGGCGGUUAGAAAAGUCUGAAGUGAAAGGCAGUGGCUCAACCAUUGUAGGCUUUGGAAACUGUUUAACUUGAGUGCAGAAGGGGAGAGUGGAAUUCCAUGUGUAGCGGUGAAAUGCGUAGAUAUAUGGAGGAACACCGGUGGCGAAAGCGGCUCUCUGGUCUGUAACUGACGCGGAGGCUCGAAAGCGUGGGGAGCGAACAGG